UAGGGAAUCUUCCACAAUGGGCGCAAGCCUGAUGGAGCAACACCGCGUGAGUGAAGAAGGGUUUCGGCUCGUAAAGACUCUGUUGUUAGAGAAGAACGUGCGUGAGAGUAACUGUUCACGCAGUGACGGUAUCUAACCAGAAAGUCACGGCUAACUACGUGCUAG
rnacentral:rRNA from 1 species